rnacentral:rRNA from 1 species
UACGUAGGGUGCGAGCGUUAAUCGGAAUUACUGGGCGUAAAGCGUGCGCAGGCGGUUUGUCAAGUCUGAUGUGAAAACUCUGGGCUCAACCCAGAGCCUGCAUCUAAAACUGGCGGGCUAGAGUUCUGGAGGGGGUAGCGGAAUUCCUGGUGUAGCGGUGAAAUGCGUAGAUAUCAGGAGGAACACCGGUGGCGAAGGCGCACAUCUGGCCCAAUACUGACGCUGAAGCGCGAAAGCUAGGGGAGCAAACGGG